UAUGUUACGACCUUUGACGAGUCAUGUGACGCGCUUGACACACCAUGCUCGCCGCUGGGUUGUUGUGCUUUGAGUGCCACAUGUUUUUCUGAGCACAGGUUUGACCGAUAAAGAUUUAAUGCUGUGAAGUGAUGUUUCCAGUGAUGUCACAACAACGCAACAAUGCUCUGAAGUAUAUAUUUAUUGAUUUGACAGCAAGAAUUCCAUAGACAUUUUCUGUAGCAUGAAGGAAGGAGAUGCAGAUAUGGUAGCAGAUCUGAAUCAUUAUUAUUAUUAUUAUUAUUAUUAUUAUUAUUAUUAUUAUUAUAUACAUAAUAUUACUGUAUUAAUCAUUAAUAUACAUCAUUGUACUGUGUGGUAGUACAAUAUAUAGUAUACCACUCAACACAGUCAGUGCUCAAAGUUAGCCAGGGCUCGAGAGAGUUCGGCCUCUCUUCCAUUUUCUAAGCAGGGGUUCGGCCCCGUCUUUGCAGGUCAACUGUAGCACUGCGGCACCCAUUCGACAAGCACUGUAGGUGAUUUUAUUGCCAAUAGUGCCUUGUGAGGGGAAAUUCCAACUCUCCAAUUUUUUGGAAUAAUGACUUAAAUAAACAACAAAUCGGUUUACUACCUCUGUCCAAGCGGCGUGAUUAUGAAUGCCUUAAAUUGUUGCAUAAUUCAAAUAACACCCCACACUACUCAUUAAAGAACAACUAUCUGUCUCCUGAUAAUUUGAAACCUACUAGGAAUAGCCACAAACUUAACCUUGCUCCAUUUCAACUGCAUACUAACCUGUUUAAGUAUAGCUUUCCUCAUACAAUUGAAAAAUGGAACUUACUCCCAGGUGAAACUAGGUAAAUUAGAAAAAUCACUGUAUUUACUUGAUUCAUGCUGCGUUUAUUAUACUGAUUGUAUCUUUUAUAUUGAAGUUAUCAUGUUUUUUAAGGCAUUGAAGUUGAUUUGUGCAGAAAAAUAUUUUGUUAUAUGCAAUGUACAAACCCACUCCUGCGAUAGCCCAAUUGGACUACAGUAUGUGAAAAUAAAAAUAAAUAAAUAAAUAAGUGAUUAAUCAGUUGAUAGAGCAUGAGCAAAGACAGAGCAACAGCUAUUGUCCUACUUCUGCAUGCAUUUCCCCAAGGCAUUGCACAUGACAGUCACCACCCUUAAUUGCUCGACUAAUUAAGAUUCUUGGCACAGCUAGCAUACUGUUUCAUGAGUCAGUUGAGUGUGAACCUACCUGUUCGUGAAUUAUUGAAGGUUCACCUUGGUUUCUUAGUUUACAAAUUAAUUUUAAUUCGUUUAUUUUUGCAUUACGAGUACAGUGCUAUACCAUGCAUGUACUUUGUACACUUUUGCAGUAAGCAGGUGUGAAACCAUGAAAUAUAUUCUUGUAGUGCCCUGAGGUUCUAGGUCCUUUCGGCUCCCCUUAUUACCACCGGUACCACUAUAGCCGUUACCACCAGUGGUACGUGCGGCCGGUAUGUCGAUCGAUACCGCCGGAAUGCUUUAUUGAGCGAUAUAUGUGUGAACGUGACACGCGCGGCUUGCCCGUAAAUCCGUUUCACUUGCGCGUGCCGCGUCAACAGAAACACGCCGCUUUUCUUUCUUUCUUUUUCUGGUGGAAAUGGGGCACAACAUCGAAUAAACGAAGCUUUGCACAACACGUUUACAAACGGACAAACACGAAAUAACAACCACUCUGACUCAUCAUUAACAUGUCUAAUUGACCAACGAUUUGGCGGCUGUCCAUUGUAUUCGUUAGGUUGUUAAUUAUGCUGUUUCUCACUGGUCAACCAAGCGAGACUGUACUAGUAAUCAUGCAAGCCGUUCGUUUUCUUGCAUUUCGUGACUUGCUCGUCCGGCUCCUUUUGCCGACGAGAAGCAGCCUAUAUUUCUCGCUUUAUCCCCAGCAGCAAUACUCUACAAAACGAAAUAUUGUCCCUCCAUUUAAACCCCAUUCAACCAGGUUUAAUGUCCUCGACAUUGAGCCACAAUAUGUAAGGAAUAUCGUUUAAAGGCCGCAGGCCAGCUGACAAUGGACAUAAAUCGGAGGGGCCGAGGGGCCAAAGAAACUAAACUGAAACAUUGUUUGCCGUGAGUAUUUUCUAAACAGCAUGUGCCUUAUAUCUUAAAUAAAUAAAUAUAAAAUAAUCUAGACGGACAUAUGUUAGAACUUUGUUUUGUUUUGUCCAUAUUCAAACUCUUCUAGGUGGCGCCCCAACAGCUCAUCGAAAUGCACGCAGCGCGAAUUCGAAUCCACAGCGAGAUUUGAGCGCGGGAAGCUGUUAUGUGCCAGUAUGCUGGGGUAGGCUUGACAACUCAAAAUUUUCUAUUUGUACUUACGAAGCAGCAGUAUUUGACAGAAAAGAAUAAUACUUUGAUGCUCUUCUCACGCCUACAAGCGAGGGCGGCGUGAUUAACAACACAGCGUAAUGCGCAACGGUGAACGCCAACGAACUGCGUGCCGCCACCAACCUGGACGAAGCAUUUUGGACUGAAGCUGUCUUGAUAUCUACAAUACAUUGGACACUACAUGCAGGAUUAUGAAUGGAUACCUGAACACUGCUUGAAGGAGCAAGCUCUACAGCAUCACUUAUGCUCCUUUCCAUGGGUUGGCAAGAGGAACCGUGGCACGCAACUCUACAGGCACCUGUGCUCUUCACUACCUUCGGAGGAGAGAUGCAUUGAAUGCUCCCUAUCAUGCACUGCCAUCUCAACAGUACCAUGGCCUUUUGUGUGGAUUCCUUCCCUUUUGAAGGCCACCACUGUUUGCACAGCAUCACAGCCUGCCUGCCUUGAUCUUGCGGAAGAAGAAAAUACAAAAUGACUAUUUUUUGAAAUGCAUGCAUGGCUUCAUGCAACACCACCUGUCGUCGGGGUGUUAAGGCUUUUUGCAGAGAAAAUGUAAUGACGCCUUAUGUGUGCCCUGGUGGCAAAGUGUUUGCCUCUUUGCCUGUGUAAAAAUUUCACACUUAUGGAUACUGUUAAAGGUUCCUGUAUCAUAUUUUCUUUCACAUCCUAAGAAAUUUUUGUUUCAUUAUAAAACUAAAAAUUAUAGUUGAAUUGCUGCUUUGUGUGAUAUGCAAUAUUCAGCUGAAGGUGAUCAGCAGAGGUCGAACAAGUGUUAUGUCAGGUGGAGAAAUUUUUUUGAGAAGUGGACUUCUUCGUUAGGGUAACAACCGUUUUCCUUGGCAGUAUUUAUAUAGUUCACUUUUCUCCACUCCAUGGAUAUCCAGCAAAAUGAGUGAGUGCAUAGAGAAGGUGAGGUAAGUUUAAAUGCUCACCAUGGGGGUUUAGUUGGGGUAGCAAGGUGUGCAGAAGUAUGGGAGUUUGGCAGGUUGCUGGCACCAAUUUCUAUGAGUGAUCUUGUUGUUUGUGUCUAUGUCAGUUAUAUAAGGCGAGGCGUCUUCUGACGCCAGAAAUUUUGAAAAAAAAACUCCUUAUAUUUGUGGAAAUUCAGUAUGUGCCCCUGGGGCUACUACGAGCACUUGGGGCCACUGGGUAGAUGCAGCUCUCCAAUGAACUUUUUUGACACAAACUUGUGUAUGUACACUGGGUGUGUGCCAUUGCAUAUGUGCCACUCUUUAAUGAACCUCUUUGAUGCUGACUUAGGUCAUGGGGCAUCACAACACAAACCUAUGUAGCGACAUCUGUGUAGCAAGUGUGAGCUGGAAUUGUCUGCUUGGAUUUUCUUUCCCUGAUGACGACUAGUCCCCUUGUUGAAUUAACUUCAGCCUGAGAUAUCACCUGUUUGUCUACUGUUAUCACAUUAUGCCCAUUUUGCUGUGAACUUGUCAUGUUCUCUAGCUGGCAAGCUUGAAUUUCAGGUGCUGCACGCUAAGGAAAUUGAUUCAGAGUGGGUGGUACCACUUCUGCUUUUUCUUUGCAGCUGUGUGUUACAUGAGAGAAUAAGUUGUACGUAGAUGUCUAUUAGAAAUAGCAUAGGUAUUCAAAGGUACUUUCAUUAUGUUCUAGGUCAUUGGUGCUGUCUGGCCUCCUUUGCAUCAUUUUUUGUAGCAUGCUUUUUACAUGCAAAAACAAAUGUGGCCUGUUCUAAUGCAUGCAAGGACUGCCCAAUAGCUCAUGAUGUUUUGAGCCGCUGAAUUUCAGUCUUGGCUGCACUUGUGGAUUUUCAACUGUACUGAAGCUUGCAAUAUGCUUGAAUUUCCUGUCAAACUGGUUUGCUUGUUUGUAUCCAAUUUAUUGAAUUAUUUCACUUUCAUUAUGCUAAUAGUCAUUGAUUGUACUAUCAUGCUGGCACAUUUGAUUCUGGAACUGCAAUAAAUUUCCAGACAUUUUA